GGCGCUGUAAGGCCUCUCCCCCCAUCCGAUCUAAAAGAACUGGGCCUUUGACUUUGCUCAUGUCAGGACGAGGUCCUCCUCCUGUUCCUGACAUGGCUGUGGGGGCACGUUAGGGUGCUGUAAGGCCUCUCCCCCCAUCCGAUCUAAAAGAACCGGGCCUUUGACUUUGCUCAUGUCAGGAUGAGGUCCUCUUCCUGUUCCUAACAUGGCUGUGGGGGCAUAUUAGGGUACUGUAAGGCCUCUCCUCCCAUCCGGUCUAAAAGAACCGGGCCUUUGACUUUGCUCAUGUCAGGACGAGGUCCUCCUCCUAUUCCUGACAUGGCUGUGGAGGCACAUUAGGGUGCUGUAAGGCCUCUCCCCCCAUCCGAUCUAAAAGAACCAGGCCUUUGACCUUGUCCAUGUCAGGACGAGGUCUUCCUCCUGUUCCUGACAUGGCUGUGGGGGCACAUUAGGGUGCUGUAAGGCCUCUCCCCCCAUCCGAUCUCGAGAUAAUCGGACCUUCAUUUUAGGUAUGUUAGGAUGAGGUUCUCCUCCUGUUCCUAACAUAACUUUGUUUCAGGCGUUUGAAGGGGUUAUAUCCAGUCGUGACAAAUCCAUGCCAAAUGGGAAGAGUACGUCAAGUAGAAAGAAAUUUAGAUUCAAGGU
rnacentral:lncRNA from 1 species